rnacentral:lncRNA from 1 species
GCCUUAAAACCACUUUCUGGGCAGUUUUGAGUACCUAACACUAAUUUGGACGGAAUUAGACUAAAACUUGACUCAAGACACUUAAAAACACAAACUAAAUUGAUUUCUAACUAAUCUAACACUUUAAAAUAAAUGGGGGAUUGAUUUUGACGAACUUAAAACUUUAAAACUUAAACUUUGAAAACAAACUUAAAGCAAAACAGAUUGUGAUGAAAUAGAAUGAUGAGAAACUAGUUAGAGGGUUCCUUAUCCACACAUGAACAUAUGCAUACAACUCGAUUUCCAAUUACUCUUUCAACAAACCAUGAAUGACAAUGCCCCAAAUUAACUAGAUUGCACCAAUUAAUUCUCAGAUUUCCCUAGAUUCAUUGAAUUGAAUAGAAUACGCAUUACAACCAAAUUAUUCUUAUCAAGGACCCUAACUAUGGAAUACGCAUGAUAGAGGCACAUAUCAAAGAUCAUUAAGUUCAAUGGAAAUCAUAAGCAUUGACGAGGCAUUCAUAACUAUGGGAUACGCAUGUUACUCUUGCCUAGGAUUUACUUAACGCAAUCGUGACUAGCGAUUUUUACUACUUAUGAAUAUAAGUUAAUAACGAUUAGGUGAAAUUCCCUUAUAUCCUAGCAUCAAGUUUAGGCAUGCAAAUUAAGUGUCGACCCUCAACCCACAUACAUAAACAAGUUAUCAAUCAAAUAGAUAAGUAAACCACAUUCACGAUUUAUGAAAUCAUAAUUGGAAGAAAUCAAGUCAUAUAAAACAUAUGAUCAUGGCUUCAAAUUCGCCUCUAACUAAAAAGAAAUUAGUUCCACAUGUCUAACAUAAUUGAAAAGCAAUUUAAAUUAAACAUGAAAACAGAAACAAGAGAAGAAAAAACUCUUAAAACUCCCAAAGAUGCAGAUGGCUUGCGCACAAGGCCCUCAUUCAUCAAUGGAAUGCACGACAAGGCUCUCCUUCUUCUCCAAAAGGUGCGGCAGAGAUGUGUAUGGAUGUAGGAUGGGGUUUUGUGAUGUAGAAUGGUGUUUAGGGUUGCGGCAAGGUGUGUUUGAAUGGUGUGAAGGGGUGGUGACGAAUUUAGGCUUAAAACACAUAUAUAUAGGCACCACAAACCCUAAAGAAAUCAGGUUAGACAAUGGGCUAGGGUUUAGGUGCGGCUAGGGUUAGAGAUGGGCCUUCUAGAAUGCCUUGCAAGACAAGGAAAUAGGUGUUCUAGAAGGCUAGGUGCGGCUGAUUAGUGGGCUAGGGUUAGGGUUUGUAGAUAG